UCAACUAGCAUGGCUGCGGUAUCAAGAAAGUCUCAAUGGACUGAAGAAAUUGAGAAAUUAGAGGAACAUUGGCAGUAGCACCAGCGCCUAAUUUGAUGAUUCAUCUAAACUUUACCACAACCGAGUGGGAAAGAGAAGAGUUGGAGAGAAAUUGCCAAUUCUCUUGGACAGUCAGUGGCGGAGAAUUCCCGCUGAUUUUUCACUGGAGAGAUGCUCAGGUGUCACUCAUGCGGCAGGCAACAGGAUAGGGUCAUAUAAAUUCUAGUCCUGGCAGGUCUACAACUAUAACUGAAAGAAGAGUCAUCAGAGGUUUUCAAGGGCAAAAACAAAAAAAGGAAGAGGAGCUUGACCAAGCACAGAAAGGAGCAGAUGCCAUCAAUG